GUUUAUUCUUGUGUAUUGUGUAAGUUGAUAGUCUAGUUUCAUUUUUUUUCCAUGUAUCUGUCCAAUUUUCCCAACAUCAUUUAUUGAAAAGACUGUCUUGACUCCAUUGUAUACUCUUGCCUCCUCUGUUAAAUAUUGAGUAUAAUGGUUUGAGUCAAUUUUGGGGGUCUCUGUUCUGUUUCAUUGAUCUAUAUGCCUAUUCUUGC